ACCUACGGAUUUCUUAGACCUAAUAAUUCGAUGUAGAGUGGCUUAGCCUAAAUAUAAAUUAGGUUUGUUCUCAUUUCCUUCAACUAGCCAGAUAAGAGGUGGGGUCGUGGGGUCCUCCCAUUGCUUGCCUUAGACACCAAUUGGAUUGGCCAGGUAAACUAACGAAACUAAUUAAAUAACCAUGAGUCCACUUACGCUG
rnacentral:lncRNA from 1 species